rnacentral:rRNA from 1 species
UACGGGGGGGGCAAGCGUUGUUCGGAAUUACUGGGCGUAAAGGGCUCGUAGGCGGCCAACUAAGUCGGACGUGAAAUCCCCAGGCUCAACCUGGGAACUGCGUCCGAUACUGGAUGGCUUGAAUUCGGGAGAGGGAAGCGGAAUUCCGGGUGUAGCGGUGAAAUGCGUAGAUAUCCGGAGGAACACCGGUGGCGAAGGCGGCUUCCUGGACCGACACUGACGCUGAGGCGCGAAAGCUAGGGGAGCAAACGGG